UACGUAGGGGGCAAGCGUUGUCCGGAAUCAUUGGGCGUAAAGCGCGUGUAGGCGGCUCGGUAAGUCCGCUCUGAAAGUCCAGGGCUCAACCCUGGGAUGCGGGUGGAUACUGCCGGGCUCGAGUCCGGAAGAGGCGAGUGGAAUUCCCGGUGUAGCGGUGAAAUGCGUAGAGAUCGGGAGGAAGGCCGGUGGCGAAGGCGGCGCUCUGGAACGUUUCUGACGCUGAGGCUCGAAAGCGUGGGGAGCAAACAGG
rnacentral:rRNA from 1 species